UGAAAACAGAAGUCUCCCGGCUACUCUUUAAAAAGAAGUUUAGAUCUGUUUGUCUACUCCUUCAGCUCAGCCUAUCCUACCUGUUCCCUCUGCAAAUGCACACGAUGCAGCAGCCAACAGAAAUGAGCCCCGCCCCUCUGUCCCCACACACUGUAAGAGCCGCUCAAUAUCUGGAAAAGAACUGCUGCUGCAAUGCUUUGAGAAACAACAGGGCGCAAAUUACUGGAUGGAUUCUUUAACUUACCAAUCAGAACUGCUGACCUUUUAUGACUCUACGAUUCAAGAAGCCUGCCACACACUCACAGGGCACAGCACUCUGUUUUUACACUCGAAGGCCUUGUCUGACUGUUGCAAAACUACAAAGGAAUGCAUUAAAAGAAUCGUUCAACUCUCCUGCAUUGCUGGUGGGAAUG